rnacentral:rRNA from 1 species
UACACACCGCCCGUCACAUCAUGGGAAUUGGUUUACCGAAGUCGUUCACUCNCCCGAAAAAAAAAAAAAAAAAAAAAAAAAAAAAAACGNGGGGGAGAGGCGCCUAAGGUGAGGUCGAUGACUGGGAUG